rnacentral:rRNA from 1 species
UGGGUGAUCUGCCCUGCACUUUGGGAUAAGCCUGGGAAACUGGGUCUAAUACCGAAUACACCCUGCUGGUCGCAUGGCCUGGUGGGGGAAAGCUUUUGCGGUGUGGGAUGGGCCCGCGGCCUAUCAGCUUGUUGGUGGGGUGACGGCCCACCAAGGCGACGACGGGUAGCCGGCCUGAGAGGGCGACCGGCCACACUGGGACUGAGACACGGCCCAGACUCCUACGGGAGCA